UACGUAGGGUGCAAGCGUUAAUCGGAAUUACUGGGCGUAAAGAGUGCGCAGGCGGCUUUGCAAGACAGAUGUGAAAUCCCCGGGCUUAACCUGGGAACUGCAUUUGUGACUGCAUGGCUGGAGUGCGGCAGAGGGGGAUGGAAUUCCGCGUGUAGCAGUGAAAUGCGUAGAUAUGCGGAGGAACACCGAUGGCGAAGGCGAUCCCCUGGGCCUGCACUGACGCUCAUGCGCGAAAGCGUGGGGAGCAAACAGG
rnacentral:rRNA from 1 species